GGGGUUGUAGUUUAAAAAAUAACAUUUAAUUUGCAAUUAAAAAUUACUAUCAAUAGUCUACCUCA
rnacentral:tRNA from 1 species